AAUAGAUACCCCGGUAGUCCACGCCGUAAACGAUGAGUGCUAAGUGUUGGGGGGUUUCCGCCCCUCAGUGCUGCAGCUAACGCAUUAAGCACUCCGCCUGGGGAGUACGGUCGCAAGACUGAAACUCAAAGGAAUUGACGGGGGCCGGCACAAGCGGUGGAGCAUGUGGUUUAAUUCGAAGCAACGCGAAGAACCUUACCAGGUCUUGACAUCCCGGUGACCACUAUGGAGACAUAGUUUCCCCUUCGGGGGCAACGGUGACAGGUGGUGCAUGGUUGUCGUCAGCUCGUGUCGUGAGAUGUUGGGUUAAGUCCCGCAACGAGCGCAACCCUUAUUCUUAGUUGCCAUCAUUCAGUUGGGCACUCUAAGGAGACUGCCGGUGAUAAACCGGAGGAAGGUGGGGAUGACGUCAAAUCAUCAUGCCCCUUAUGACCUGGGCUACACACGUGCUACAAUGGACGGUACAAACGGUUGCCAACCCGCGAGGGGAGCUAAUCCGAUAAAACCGUUCUCAGUUCGGAUUGUAGGCUGCAACUCGCCUAC
rnacentral:rRNA from 1 species